ACGAACGCUGGCGGCGUGCUUAACACAUGCAAGUCGCACGGAAAGGCCCCCACUUUUUUGGUGGGGGUGCUCGAGUGGCGAACGGGUGAGUAACACGUGGGUGAUCUGCCCUGUACUUCGGGAUAAGCUUGGGAAACUGGGUCUAAUACCGGAUAGGACCAUGGUUUAGUGUCUCAUGGUGGAAAAAUUAUUGUUUUGGUGCAGGAUGAGCUCGCGGCCUAUCAGCUUGUUGGUGGGGUAAUGGCCUACCAAGGCGUCGACGGGUAGCCGGCCUGAGAGGGUGGACGGCCACAUUGGGACUGAGAUACGGCCCAGACUCCUACGGGAGGCAGCAGUGGGGAAUAUUGCACAAUGGGCACAAGCCUGAUGCAGCGACGCCGCGUGGGGGAUGACGGCCUUCGGGUUGUAAACUCCUUUCGUUAGGGACGAAGCCGCACCUUUUUUGGGUGUGGUGACGGUACCUUUGUUAAGAAGCACCGGCUAACUACGUG
rnacentral:rRNA from 1 species